rnacentral:rRNA from 1 species
ACGCUCGACACCUACGGAGGCAGCAGUAGGGAAUCUUCCACAAUGGGCGCAAGCCUGAUGGAGCAACACCGCGUGAGUGAAGAAGGGUUUCGGCUCGUAAAGCUCUGUUGUUGGAGAAGAACGUGCGUGAGAGUAACUGUUCACGCAGUGACGGUAUCCAACCAGAAAGUCACGGCUAACUACGUGCCGACAGCCGCGGUAAUCUGAGCGGGCUGGCAAGGC